CACCUGAGGGACGCCAAGUCAGCAGAGCCCCCCGGCCCGGCCCAACCCCCCCAGCCCCCACACCUGCUGGGGUCCUUCCACCAGCGCUCCGUGUAGUUGGCGGUGAUGGAGAUGUAUCCGAUGGCCGCGUCGAUCCACACGUAGAACAGCUGCGGGGGGAGGGGGAACGUGCUCAGUGCACCCCACGCGGGGUGGGAUGGACCAAGGCCGGAGCCCGUGGCCGAGCCGCCUGCUGGCCCCCACCUUGUGGCGGGAGCCCCCGUCCCUCCCCCCACCCCGAGUCCCCUCCUCUCGUUCCCGCACUCCCGUGUCCCCUCGUCGGGGCGGAGCCGCCGCCCGCUGUAAAUCCCCGCAACCGCCGCCGCCUCCUCCCGCAGCUGCCAUGCACCGCGGCCUCUCCCCACCGCGGGGCCGCGCCCUCGAUGCUUCGCCGCCGCCUCCGGUUCCCGUUCACGGGAGUUCGGCGGAGCGCGGCGGCGCGGAGCGAACGGAGCUGGCGGCUCUCAACGAUCGCUUCGCCGCUUUCCUGGAGCGGGUGCGGGCGUUGGAGCGGCAGAACGGGGCCCUCCGCUCGGCCCUCGGCCGCGCCGCCGCCGCUCCCCGCGCCGCGGGGUUGGUGCGGGGUGAGCUGCGGGGGCUGCGGGAACGGCUGCAGCGCCUCGGCCGGGAGCGGGAGCGGCUGCAGGGAGAGCGCGAUGGGCUGGCGGCCGAGCUGCAGGGGCUGCGGCAGCGGCUGGAGGAUGAGAUGCAGAAGCGUGAAGAUGCGGAGCAGAGCCUGGUGCUGUUCCGCAAGGACAUGGAUGAUGCCACGCUGUCCCGCCUGGAACUGGAGCACAGGAUUGAGCUGCUGAUGGAUGAGAUCGGCUUCUUGAAGAAGCUGCACGAGGAGGAGCUGUGGGAGCUGGAGGCGAGAGCGCAGAGCCAGCAGGCGCAGGCCGGGGCACGGGUGGAGCUGCAGCAGCCGGACCUGGCAGCUGCACUGCGCGACAUCCGCACGCAGUACGAGAGCAUCGCCGUCACAAACCUGCAGGAAGCCGAGGAAUGGUACAAAGCCAAGUUUGCUGAUCUGUCGGAUGCUGCCAACCGUAACUGCGAGGCGCUGCGGGUGGCCAAGCAGGAGAUGAAUGAAUCCCAGAGGCAAAUCCAGAGCCUCACCUGUGAGGUGGAUGGGCUGAAGGGCAUGAAUGAAGCACUGCAGCGACAGAUGCAGGAGAUGGAGGAUGAGUUCGGCACGGAGAUCAGGAGCUACCAGGAGGCAAUGGGGCGGCUGGAGCAGGAGAUCCGGAGCAUGAAGGAGGAGAUGGCACGGCAGCUGCACGAGUAUCAGGACCUGCUCCAUGUCAAGAUGGCCCUGGACAUGGAGAUCGCCACGUACCGCAAGCUGCUGAACAGCGAGGAGGGCUGUGCACCGAGGUAGGAGGUUGCUCAUGAUGGCAUAACAAGCAAUGGAAAGUUGCCAAACUGGGGGGGAAAAAGAGCUAACAGGUCCUCCAGGAGGGGGGCUGACCUCCCUCCAGAAUGAGUGGCAGGUGGUGAUGGAGUCACACGAGGAGCGAGUGGAGCCCGAGUGAUGGAGAGCCCCCCCCGGGCUGCCCCCCGUGCUUUGUGCCUUUAUUUAUUGCGAUUUGCUGCUGAUUAUUUUCCUCUGUCCCAGAGCCAUGCGUGCACUCCACAUUGCAUCAGGGCGGGGGGGGGGAAGAUCCCACUGCCCCCCCCAACUCCUUGGCCGCAAAUAAAGAAUGGAGCUUGGAA